AAACUGUCAGAGGUGCUCAUGGGUGGCCCAAGAACAAGGAAACUGAAGUGGCCUCACCAAGGGGGUCAGCCUCUGUUUCUGCUGAUGCUAUGUAAUACUGAGUGUGGAUCCUCUGCUCUGUGGGUGGUGCUCUGUGGCAACGGGCUGUCAGAGUGGACCAGUACUCUGAAGAGGAAAAAAUUAUCUGUGUGAAGAAACAUGGAUUCACUUCAAACCUGUCCUUUCCGAGCUACACUGAGUAAACUGGGACAGCUUCCGGUCCUCCAUCCAGGUCACAACCCCACCCCCACAGUCCUCUGGGUAAACUCUGGUAUGAAAAAUUCAUUUCGGAUUUGACCAAGGAGCUCAGAAGUUUAUGUGAUGGGGAGCAUAGACUAUAUCUUGGGAACAAUUAGGUCUUCAAGAGGUCUCCAUCCUCUGCCUACUUACAAACAGAACACAGCUCAGGUGUUCUGUCCUACACCGGGAGGAAGAAAUGCUACACAGAGAGGCUGAGAAGAAUCUGAACAAACAGGCCUUGCUGGAUUUCCCCUUCAGUUUAUUGCCAUUUGCUUGCACUUUUUGUCGAAUCACAUUUCUACAUGGUGUUAACCAAACAUAAAAUACAGUUUUCCCUGGGUCUUUGCAUCUUCAUUUCUGAAGGUUCCCCUGUCACAUAAAAUGUUGAUUAAAUAAAUUUGUUACAUUUUUCCCUUGCUAAUCUGUCUUUUGUUAUAGGAGAGUUGGCUGUGACCCUUGUGAUGAAUGAGAAGAGGUAUUACCUUUUCACCCCUACACUCCCAUGGGUAUGUCCAGGGUUACACACAAUUCCUCACAUGCUAACUAAGACACCAUCCCACAAGAAAGCCUAUCAGUAGACAAUUGCAUGACACUGACAUUAUUAUAAUUGGAAACUUAAAUCUGUUGUAUAUAUUAAAUUGUGUUAAAAUACAUAUAACAUAAAGUUUACCAUCUUAACCAUUUUAAAAUGAACAGUUUGGUGGCUGGGCGUGGUGGCUCAUGCCUGUAAUCCCAGCAUUCUGGGAGGCCGAGGUGGGCGGAUCACGAGGUCAGGAGAUCAAGACCAUUCUGUGAAUGGUGAAACCCUGUCUCUACUAAAAAUACAAAAAAUUAGCCUGGCGUGGUGGCAGGUGCCUCUAGUCCCAGCUACUCGGG
rnacentral:lncRNA from 1 species